CUGCACUACCUGAGCCACCUGUGUGGGUUGUAGACUUGGUCUCAUGCUACCACUAGAGUGAAAGCACAGCCAGCAUUCAAAAGUGACCAAAACAUCAGCCAGGAAGCAUAGGAACUGAGAAGUGGUCUGUGGUCACCACCUGCAGAACCACUCCUUUAUUGGGGGUGUCUUGCUAAUUGCCUAUAAUUUCCACCUGUUGUCUAUCCCAUUUGCACAACAGCAUGUAAAAUUGAUUGUCACUCAGUGUUGC